GAUGAACGCUAGCGGGAGGCCUAACACAUGCAAGCCGAGCGGUAUUGUUUCUUCGGAAAUGAGAGAGCGGCGUACGGGUGCGUAACACGUGUGCAACCUGCCUUUAUCUGGGGGAUAGCCUUUCGAAAGGAAGAUUAAUACUCCAUAAUAUAUUGAACGGCAUCGUUUAAUAUUGAAAGCUCCGGCGGAUAGAGAUGGGCACGCGCAAGAUUAGCUAGUUGGUGAGGUAACGGCUCACCAAGGCGAUGAUCUUUAGGGGGCCUGAGAGGGGGAGCCCCCACACUGGUACUGGGACACGGACCAGACUCCUACGGGAGGCAGCAGUGAGGGAGAUUGGUCAAUGGGUGCAAGCCUGAACCAGCCAUCCCGUGUGAAGGACGACUGCCCUAUGGGUUGUAAACUUCUUUUGUAUAGGGAUAAACCUACCCUCGGGAGGGUAGCUGAAGGUACUAUGCGAAUAAGCACCGGCUAACUCCGUG
rnacentral:rRNA from 1 species